rnacentral:rRNA from 1 species
CUAGCUGUAAACGAUGGAUACUAGGCGUUGAGAGUAUCGACCCUCUCAGUGUCGUAGCUAACGCGUUAAGUAUCCCGCCUGGGGAGUACGCGCGCAAGCGUGAAACUCAAAGGAAUUGACGGGGGCCCGCACAAGCGGUGGAGUAUGUGGUUUAAUUCGAUGCAACGCGAAGAACCUUACCAGGGCUUGACAUGUCCGGAACCCUGCCCAAAGGCGGGGGUGCCUACGGGAACCGGACACAGGUGGUGC